rnacentral:rRNA from 1 species
UACGAAGGGGGCUAGCGUUGCCCGGAAUCACUGGGCGUAAAGCGCAUCGUAGGCGGAUUCCUAAGUCGGGGGUGAAAUCCUGGAGCUCAAUCGUCCAGAACUCGCCUUCGAUACUGGGAAUCUUGAGUCCGGAAGAGGUGGAGUGGAACUGCGAGUGUAGAGGUGAAAUUCGUAGAUAUUCGCAAGAACACCAGUGGCGAAGGCGGCUCACUGGUCCGGUACUGACGCUGAGGU